GACGAACGCUGGCGGCGUGCUUAACACAUGCAAGUCGAACGAAGUGGCGAACGGGUGAGUAACGCGUAAUCAACCUGCCCUUCAGAGGGGGACAACAGUUGGAAACGACUGCUAAUACCGCAUACUGAAGGAGGGGAUUGCGUCUGAUUAGCUAGUUGGAGGGGUAACGGCCCACCAAGGCGAUGAUCAGUAGCCGGUCUGAGAGGAGGAACGGCCAAAAUGGGAAUGAGGAACGGGCCAAGAUCCUACGGGAGGCAGCAGGGGGGAAACUUCCGCAAUGGACGAAAGGCUGAAGGAGCAAAGCCGCGGGAGUGAUGACGGCCUUCGGGUUGUAAAGCUCUGUUAAGCGGGACGCGGUACCGGAAUAGAAAGCCACGGCUAACUACGUGCCAGCAGCCGCGGUAAUAC
rnacentral:rRNA from 1 species